CGGGCAGAUGAGACUCCAGUUGUCCACCUGGUCUAGUGUUUGCGGCGAGACGAAGUUCCGUAUGCAAAUCGCCCAACAGCUGCGUUAUUUUGGGAUCGCACUGCAAUCAAUAUUUGAGCUAUCAUAGUAUAUGCAUAUGGACACACCGUGAAAAUGUAAAUACUGAAAGCCCUUGGAGGUACCUCGCUGUCCGAUCGAAGUGACAAAAGAUCGUCGACGCGAAUCGGCUUCCCCUGAUUCAAAGAGUUCGUGAGGAAUAUCAGUCUCCGGGCGAGAUUAUCUUCCACGCACAUCUCCAAUGCCUGAUUAUCUCCCUUCAGAUUCGACGAGCGUGGCUUGAUGGGCGGCGGGCUGUUAUAGUAGUAUGACGAUGGAGAAA